rnacentral:rRNA from 1 species
UACCGCUGAACUUAAGCAUAUCAAUAAGCGGAGGAAAAGAAACCAACAGGGAUUACCUCAGUAACGGCGAGUGAAGCGGUAACAGCUCAAAUUUGAAAUCUGGCCUCACGGUCCGAGUUGUAAUUUGUAGAGGAUGCUUCGAGCAUGGUCUGGCCUAAGUUCCUUGGAACAGGACGUCAUAGAGGGUGAGAAUCCCGUAUGCGGCCAGGUGCCUACGCUCAUGUGAAGCUCCUUCGACGAGUCGAGUUGUUUGGGAAUGCAGCUCAAAAUGGGUGGUAAAUUUCAUCUAAAGCUAAAUAUUGGCCAGAGACCGAUAGCGCACAAGUAGAGUGAUCGAAAGAUGAAAAGCACUUUGGAAAGAGAGUUAAACAGUACGUGAAAUUGUUGAAAGGGAAGCGCUUGCAACCAGACUUGCGCGCGGCCGAUCAUCCGGUGUUCUCACCGGUGCACUCGGCCGUGCUCAGGCCAGCAUCGGUUUUGGCGGCUGGAUAAAGGCCCUAGGAAUGUAGCUCCUCUCGGGGAGUGUUAUAGCCUAGGGUGCAAUGCAGCCUGCUGGGACCGAGGACCGCGCUUCGGCUAGGAUGCUGGCGUAAUGGUUGUAAGCGGCCCGUCUUGAAACACGGA